CAGUUGCAAACUCCACUCCAUACAUAUAUAUGGGGAGGUAAUAGUUCCAACUCGGUUUUACAGUGAAAACUGCAUGGACUUCAAACCGGCAGUUGAAAACAUACCGAGAAACCCGAGUACAUGUUUCUACAACCCAUUCCCUUAAUGCUAAUGA